UACGUAGGUGGCAAGCGUUAUCCGGAAUUACUGGGCGUAAAGCGCACGCAGGCGGUCUUUUAAGUUUGACGUGAAAGCUCCCGGCUUAACUGGGAGAGGUCGUUGAAUACUGGGAGACUUGAGUUUAGGAGAGGGGUGUAGAAUUCCCGGUGUAGUGGUGGAAUGCGUAGAUAUCGGGGGGAAUACCAGUGGCGAAAGCGGCACCCUAGCCUUUGACUGACGCUCAUGUGCGAAAGCGUGGGGAGCGAAC
rnacentral:rRNA from 1 species